rnacentral:lncRNA from 1 species
AGCGAAUUGGUCAGUGCUGGUUAAUAUUUAACAAAAUUAUAAAGGGUGUCUAAGUUCGUGUACUCAUGACAUUGAAAGUGGUAAUGAAGUGGUCGGUGUUUGGAUGGGAGGAAAGUGAAAGAAAAUGGUGUGGUGGCCAUGAAGCUCAGAAAUAGGAGAUGAAGAGGCAGUGAAGAAGAAAGAUGAAGAAGACAGGAAAAAGUUGAAGACAAGAAAUGGGAGAUGAAGAGGCACGCCGAGAAAAAAGAAA